AGAUUGAACGCUGGCGGCAUGCUUUACACAUGCAAGUCGUGCGGCAGCGCGGGGGCAACCCUGGCGGCGAGCGGCGAACGGGUGAGGAAUACAUCGGAACGUACCCCGGAGUGGGGGAUAACCCAGCGAAAGUUGGACUAAUACCGCAUAUGCUCUGAGGAGGAAAGCAGGGGACUUCGCAAAGAGGCCUUGCGCUCUGGGAGCGGCCGAUGUCCGAUUAGCUAGUUGGUGGGGUAAUGGCUCACCAAGGCGACGAUCGGUAGCUGGUCCGAGAGGAUGAUCAGCCACACUGGGACUGAGACACGGCCCAGACUCCUACAGGAGGCAGCAGUGGGAAUUUUGGACAAUGGGGGCAACCCUGAUCCAGCCAUGCCGCGUGCGGGAAGAAGGCCGUUCGGUGUAAACCGCUUUGGUCGGUAAGAAAGGAAGGACGUUGAAGUACGGCUAGGUCUUUGACGGUACCGGCGAGAAGUAAAGCAACCGGCUAACUAACGU
rnacentral:rRNA from 1 species